AGUGAACGCUGGCGGUAGGCCUAACACAUGCAAGUCGAACGGCAGCACAGUAAGAGCUUGCUCUUACGGGUGGCGAGUGGCGGACGGGUGAGGAAUACAUCGGAAUCUACUUUUUCGUGGGGGAUGACGUAGGGAAACUUACGCUAAUACCGCAUACGACCUACGGGUGAAAGCAGGGGAUCUUCGGACCUUGCGCGAUUGAAUGAGCCGAUGUCGGAUUAGCUAGUUGGCGGGGUAAAGGCCCACCAAGGCGACGAUCCGUAGCUGGUCUGAGAGGAUGAUCGGCCCCACUGGAGCUGGGACCCGGUCCCACCUCCUACGGGAGGCAGCAUUGGGGAUUUUUGGACAAGGGGCGCAAGCCUGAUCCAGCCAUACCGCGUGGUUGAAAAAGGCCUUCGGGUUGUAAGCCCUUUUGUUGGGAAAGAAAAGCAGCAGGUUAAUACCCCGCUGUUCUGACGGUACCCAAAGAAUAAGCACCGGCUAACUUCGUG
rnacentral:rRNA from 1 species